AAAGGGCGCGUAGGCGGAAUGCUUUGUCGGGCGUGAAAUUCCAGGGCUUAACCUUGGGGCUGCGUUCGAGACGGGUAUUCUAGAGUGGAGAAGAGGGUCGUGGAAUUCCCAGUGUAGAGGUGAAAUUCGUAGAUAUUGGGAAGAACACCGGUGGCGAAGGCGGCGACCUGGUCUUUUACUGACGCUGAGGCGCGAAAGCGUGGGGAGCAAACAGGAUUAGAUACCCUAGU
rnacentral:rRNA from 1 species